CAAAUCAAUUUGGUGGCAAACACCUUUAAUCAAAGGUAGGGUGUUCCGUGAUUAAGCAUUAGUGGAUCAAUUCAGACCAGUGCUUUAAUCGCUUUUGUGUUUAGGCAUAAUUGAGAAUCAUUCAACAAAGGAAGCAGAAGAAAAUCUCACUCUCUCUCUCACUGCCGAACCCAGCAAAAAAACAGAGCACAAAUUCUUCGAUCUCUCUCUCCCACCUCAGGCCACCUCAAGACGUCAGACCACCUCCAUUACCUUCGCCUCUUCCUUGCGCAGCCGUCAGUGGUAACUUUUCGUCGUCUCGUGAGCCGUACACGGCGGUGGAGCACGAGGCCAGUUUAACUUCCUUUUGUUCCAAGCUUGAUAUCUCAGGCUACCGGUCACCACUCAUCGUCAAACUUCAUCCACAAGCUCACCUCAAUCUCCAGAAGCGCCCAGAAGUGUCCUUUCACGGCGGCACUACGUGUGGUGGCGGUUGGAAGCCAAACCCGAUCAAAAAAAAUCGAAACCGAGCUAUCAACCCGGAUAUCUCGAGUUACAGACCACCUUUUCCUGUGACUCUUGGCCUGGUGAGUUCGCCUUGAGAUUGUUAACAACUCUCUAGAAGGGAUCGAGGCCUGAAGUUGAAGUUUUUACGUCGAAAUUCAAGCUCGCCGGAUUCUGGAAAUUUUCCGGCCACCGAGACUUUUGAUCGAGUUAUCUCGAGCUAUAGAGCUUUGUUUUGAGUAAUUCUUGAACCAGUGAGUUCUUCUUUAAGUUAUGAACAAGUCUCCUGAAGGAAUCGAAGCCAAAGGAGGACAUUUUUACGAUGAUCGGAGCUUCGCCGGUUUCUGCAAAUUAUCGCCGGAUUCUGGAAAUUUUCCGGCCACCGUGACUAUUUUGGUGAUUGACGGUCUUCCUUGGGUGAGCGGUUUCGGUGUGUAUUGUGUUGAAUUGAAAACGCAGCGGGAAUAUCGAGCGGGUAAUCCUACAGGUCAGGAAAAUCAGAAAGGUGAUCGAGCUGCGUAGAGUAGCUGCAUUUGUGUGAAUCUGACUUUCUUUUGUGAGGUGUGUUAUGCUCAUUGAGCUACAUUUAUAAUUUGGUGAGAGUGUGCUGUAAUAAACAAAUUUGAGAUUUGGUUUAUGUAAUAUCGAGCGAUGUGAGGUGUGGUUGUUUUGAGAAAAAAAUUCAGGUUGUAUUUAUGUGAGUUGUAUUAAUUCAUGUUUCGGAUUUGAAUUUGUUAUUCAAAAUCCGGGGCGUGACAGUUUGGUAUCAGAGCGUAAGGUACAUAUUUGGUGAUAAUCAGUACUCCCCGAGUGAUGGCCCGUCUGCAGCGGAUCCCCAUCAUAUACUCUUCGGUACUGGUAUAAUCAUUGGGUAUGUCUUAGUAUGGGGUCUAGACAGCGUGUAUGUCUGUAGGACGGUAGAGUUGUCUUCUAAGUUCGUAUUAGAAUAAGUUUAGUUUCCGCAGGUUGUAAUCUUCGAGGAAUAGAGACCUCUAGAUUUAACUCUGAUGAGUCGGUGAGAUUUGUUUUAUGGAAGUGAGGUCCUUUUGGAUGUUGAAGUGUUUGGUUGAAGGCAUGAUGUUGACCUAUGCACGUACCUAGUGUGGAUACGAGUAUGAAUUGUUAUAAAUUUUGUCUUCUUAAGUUGGACGUACAGAUGUUUGGAUGGGAUGUACGUAUCAAGGAUUAAAUAUCUUGUUUUGUAAUGAGAUGUCCUUGUGGAGUUUGUUAGUAGGGUUGAGGUUAGGGAAGAAAUUAUUGUGGUUACUUCUUCCUUGUGCUUGUAAGUUGUUAAGCAGGGUUUAAGGUGCGAGACAAGAAUUUUAUUUUGUGCUCGAUGGUUAGAGAUGAGAGACCAUUGUUUUGGGUUGUCGUUGAGUACUAUAAUUCCUUCAGAAUCAGGAUUGUUGGUAGAAUUGGAAUUAGUAGUAGUUUUGGUGAUUCGGAAUUUGAAUUGAGUUCGCGAGAUGUGUCUUAUAUACGUGGUUGAUGUUGCUUGCAUCAUUUUGGAACGAUACGUUACGAUUCACAAGGAAAACUGGAUUUGAAAUUUAUUCAUUUGAACACCAUGGGUUGAUGACCUGACCGUGACUUGUGAAUAUAGUUUUGUUCAAGUGAAUGAAAUUGAAUUUUGUGGCCUUUGUGUGGUGAACUAGUUUUCUUAAGUUUUGGAUCGUAGUAUGGAGAUGGACUGCAGUGAAUUUGAAGUUGUUGUGUGUUUUAAGUUUAAGUAGGCGGGACACUUAAAGUUUUGCAAUGGAGUUGAUUUUGG